CCUACGGGUGGCAGCAGUGGGGGAUAUUGCACAAUGGGGGAAACCCUGAUGCAGCGACGCCGCGUGUGGGAAGACGGUCCUCUGGAUUGUAAACCACUGUCCCCAGGGACUAAGAUGACGGUACCUGGGGAGUAAGCUCCGGCUAACUACGUGCCAGCAGCCUCGGUAAUACGUAGGGAGCGAGCGUUGUCCGGAUUUACUGGGUGUAAAGGGAGCGUAGGCGGUAUUGCAAGUUGUGUGUCAAAUCUACCGGCUCAACCGGUAGCCGCACUUAAAACUGCAGGUCUUGAGUAAAGUAGAGGCAGGCGGAAUUCGUAGUGUAGCGGUGAAAUGCGUAGAUAUUACGAGGAACACCAGUGGCGAAGGCGGCCUGCUGGGCCUUUACUGACGCUGAGGCUCGAAAGUGUGGGGAGCAAACAGGAUUAGAUACCCCAGUAGUC
rnacentral:rRNA from 1 species